rnacentral:lncRNA from 1 species
GAAAAUUAAGGAAGUUUUUCAAAGAACCCUAUUCCGAGUAAGAAGUGUGUUGCAUGAAUUUCUAAGGGUGGGAGUGGCACAGAGGGAAAUCCAACCAGUCUCAGACUUGGCCACAGCAGGAUUCACUGCCAGAGGAAGAUGGAAAGGUGUACGGCAUGAUCCAACCGCAAGAAAGACCCAUGAAUACUACACCCAUCGAAACUGUCUGGAAACAGGCAGAUAUUGGAACCCCAGAGCCCCUCUUAAAAAAAUACUUAUGAUGAGCCGGGCGCGGUGGCUCACGCCUGUAAUCCCAGCACUUUGGGAGGCCGAGGCGGGCGGAUCACGAGGUCAGGAGAUCGAGACCAUCCUGGCUAAUGCAGAGGAACCCCGUCUCUACUAAAAAUACAAAAAAUUAGCCAGGCAUGGUGGUGGGCGCCUGUAGUCCCAGCUACUCAGGAGGCUGAGGCAGGAAAAUGGCGUGAACCCGAUAGGCGGAGCUUGUAGUGAGCCGAGAUUGCGCCACUGCACUCCAGCCUGGGCGACAGAGCGAGACUCCAUCUCAAAAAAAAAAAAUUCAUGAUGAAAUCUAGCUCACCAAGAUGACUCAAAAUAAAGAUUUCAAGCACAGAGAAUUGAUGGUAAAAGGAUGGGCCAAGUCCCUUUAGAAACAGAAGUAAAACCAAACGCCAGGGUAUAGAUGGCCUCUUGUGCAGAUGUCCCUAAUGUAUCUAUGAAACCUUCCUGAAAAACCAAAAGCAAACCCAGAAGAAUCCUCCCGGAACAAACAAACCGAGAACCUUAAAGAUGUUCUACAUCUAAGAAAGGAACUUAUAAAUCACAUAAAUAAGAAAGUAUUGGUAUGAAUUAACUGCAUUAAAAGUAAAUAACUUUGUGAAUAUAAUUACAAAUAAAUGCAAAUGUGAUAAUUUGUGAAAGGAAAUGUAUAUACUGUAAACAAUGAUUGGAGCAGAAAAAAGAAGUUAAUUAUAUGCUG